rnacentral:rRNA from 1 species
UACGUAGGGGGCAAGCGUUGUCCGGAUUCAUUGGGCGUAAAGAGCGCGCAGGCGGUUGUGCAAGUCGCGUGUGAAAGCCCCCGGCUCAACUGGGGAGGGUCACGCGAUACUGUUCGACUUGAAGGCAGGAGAGGGAAGUGGAAUUCCCGGUGUAGUGGUGAAAUGCGUAGAUAUCGGGAGGAACACCAGUGGCGAAGGCGACUUCCUGGCCUGUUCUUGACGCUGAGGCGCGAAAGCUAGGGUAGCAAACGGG